rnacentral:rRNA from 1 species
GAUGAACGCUGGCGGCGUGCCUAAUACAUGCAAGUCGAGCGAACGGACGAGAAGCUUGCUUCUCUGAUGUUAGCGGCGGACGGGUGAGUAACACGUGGAUAACCUACCUAUAAGACUGGGAUAACUUCGGGAAACCGGAGCUAAUACCGGAUAAUAUUUUGAACCGCAUGGUUCAAAAGUGAAAGACGGUCUUGCUGUCACUUAUAGAUGGAUCCGCGCUGCAUUAGCUAGUUGGUAAGGUAACGGCUUACCAAGGCAACGAUGCAUAGCCGACCUGAGAGGGUGAUCGACCACACUGGAACUGAGACACGGUCCAGACUCCUACGGGAGGCAGCAGUAGGGAAUCUUCCGCAAUGGGCGAAAGCCUGACGGAGCAACGCCGCGUGAGUGAUGAAGGUCUUCGGAUCGUAAAACUCUGUUAUUAGGGAAGAACAUAUGUGUAAGUAACUGUGCACAUCUUGACGGUACCUAAUCAGAAAGCCACGGCUAACUACGUGCCAGCAGCCGCGGUAAUACGUAGGUGGCAAGCGUUAUCCGGAAUUAUUGGGCGUAAAGCGCGCGUAGGCGGUUUUUUAAGUCUGAUGUGAAAGCCCACGGCUCAACCGUGGAGGGUCAUUGGAAACUGGAAAACUUGAGUGCAGAAGAGGAAAGUGGAAUUCCAUGUGUAGCGGUGAAAUGCGCAGAGAUAUGGAGGAACACCAGUGGCGAAGGCGACUUUCUGGUCUGUAACUGACGCUGAUGUGCGAAAGCGUGGGGAUCAAACAGGAUUAGAUACCCUGGUAGUCCACGCCGUAAACGAUGAGUGCUAAGUGUUAGGGGGUUUCCGCCCCUUAGUGCUGCAGCUAACGCAUUAAGCACUCCGCCUGGGGAGUACGACCGCAAGGUUGAAACUCAAAGGAAUUGACGGGGACCCGCACAAGCGGUGGAGCAUGUGGUUUAAUUCGAAGCAACGCGAAGAACCUUACCAAAUCUUGACAUCCUUUGACAACUCUAGAGAUAGAGCCUUCCCCUUCGGGGGACAAAGUGACAGGUGGUGCAUGGUUGUCGUCAGCUCGUGUCGUGAGAUGUUGGGUUAAGUCCCGCAACGAGCGCAACCCUUAAGCUUAGUUGCCAUCAUUAAGUUGGGCACUCUAAGUUGACUGCCGGUGACAAACCGGAGGAAGGUGGGGAUGACGUCAAAUCAUCAUGCCCCUUAUGAUUUGGGCUACACACGUGCUACAAUGGACAAUACAAAGGGCAGCGAAACCGCGAGGUCAAGCAAAUCCCAUAAAGUUGUUCUCAGUUCGGAUUGUAGUCUGCAACUCGACUACAUGAAGCUGGAAUCGCUAGUAAUCGUAGAUCAGCAUGCUACGGUGAAUACGAUCCCGGGUCU